AAUGAACGUUGGCGGCGUGGAUUAGGCAUGCAAGUCGAGCGAGAACCGGUCUUCGGACCGGGGACAGCGGCGAAAGGGACAGUAAUGUGUAGAUUAUCUGCCCCGAGGCCCGGGAUAGCUGCGGGAAACUGCAGGUAAUACCGGAUAACAUCUCCGGAUCAAAGGUGUGAUUCCGCCUCGGGAUGAGUCUGCAUCCUAUUAGCUAGUUGGUGGGGUAACGGCCUACCAAGGCAUUGAUGGGUAGCGGGUGUGAGAGCACGACCCGCGUCACUGGGACUGAGACACUGCCCAGACACCUACGGGUGGCUGCAGUCGAGAAUCUUCGGCAAUGGACGCAAGUCUGACCGAGCGACGCCGCGUGUGGGAUGAAGGCCUUCGGGUUGUAAACCACUGUCAGAGGGGAGGAAAUUUGUGGGGGUUCUCCCCCAUGAUUGACCUAGCCUCAGAGGAAGUACGGGCUAAGUUCGUGCCAGCAGCCGCAGUAAAAC
rnacentral:rRNA from 1 species